GGCUAGCAUGUCUGUCUCAACAAGGCAGGGUUUUAGAGUCCCAAGCUGGCAGGAAAAAUGGGCUCAGAAGUAAUUUCAGCACAUUGGGUGACAGUCCCAAGGGGAUCCCUGUGACUGAACCCUUCACAUGGUGCCAUUGGUAACCUGAGA